rnacentral:rRNA from 1 species
AUCCGUAGGGGGCGUGAGAGCGUGGCCCCCCACACUGGCACUGAGACACGGGCCAGACUCCUACGGGAGGCAGCAGUGAGGAAUAUUGCACAAUGGGCGCAAGCCUGAUGCAGCAACGCCGCGUGAGGGACGAAGGCCUUCGGGUUGUAAACCUCUUUUCUGAGGGACGAGGAAGGACGGUACCUCAGGAAUAAGUCUCGGCUAACUACGUGCCAGCAGCCGCGGUAAAACGUAGGAGGCGAGCGUUAUCCGGAUUUACUGGGCGUAAAGCGCGCGCAGGUGGCUUCGUGAGUCGGACAUGAAAGCUCCUGGCUUAACUGGGAGAGGCUGUUCGAUACUGCGGGGCUUGAGGUUGGGAGAGGGACGCGGAAUUCCCGGUGUAGUGGUGGAAUGCGUAGAUAUCGGGAGGAACACCAGUGGCGCAAGCGGCGUCCUGGCCCACACCUGACGCUGAGGUGCGAAAGCGUGGGUAGCAAACAGGAUUAGAUACCCUGGUAGUCCACGCUGUAAACGAUGUCAACUGGGUGUCGGUAGUUUUACACUAUCGGUGCCGAA